GAUGAACGCUAGCGGCGUGCCUUAUGCAUGCAAGUCGAACGGUCUUAAGCAAUUAAGAUAGUGGCAAACGGGUGAGUAACGCGUAAGUAACCUACCUCUAAGUGGGGGAUAGCUUCGGGAAACUGAAGGUAAUACCGCAUGUGAUGGGCUGACAUAAGUCGGUUCAUUAAAGCCGCAAGGUGCUUGGUGAGGGGCUUGCGUCCGAUUAGCUAGUUGGUGGGGUAAUGGCCUACCAAGGCUUCGAUCGGUAGCUGGUCUGAGAGGAUGAUCAGCCACACUGGGACUGAGACACGGCCCAGACUCCUACGGGAGGCAGCAGCAAGGAAUCUUGGGCAAUGGGCGAAAGCCUGACCCAGCAACGCCGCGUGAGGGAUGAAGGCUUUCGGGUUGUAAACCUCUUUUCACAGGGAAGAAUAAUGACGGUACCUGUGGAAUAAGCUUCGGCUAACUACGUGCCAGCAGCCGCGGUAAUACGUAGGAAGCAAGCGUUAUCCGGAUUUAUUGGGCGUAAAGUGAGCGUAGGUGGUCUUUCAAGUUGGAUGUGAAAUUUCCCGGCUUAACCGGGACGUGUCAUUCAAUACUGUUGGACUAGAGUACA
rnacentral:rRNA from 1 species